rnacentral:rRNA from 1 species
GACGAACGCUGGCGGCGUGCUUAACACAUGCAAGUCGAACGGUGAAGGGACCGGUUUUUGCUGGUUCUGGAUGAGUGGCGAACGGGUGAGUAACACGUGAGUAACCUGCCCCCUUCUUCUGGAUAACCGCAUGAAAGUGUGGCUAAUACGGGAUAUUCUGCGCCUGCUGCAUGGUGGGUGUGGGAAAGAUAUUGUUUCGGUGGGGGAUGGGCUCGCGGCCUAUCAGCUUGUUGGUGGGGUGAUGGCCUACCAAGGCGGUGACGGGUAGCCGGCCUGAGAGGGUGGACGGUCACACUGGGACGGAGACACGGCGCAGACUCCUACGGGAGGCAGCAGGGGAGAAUAUUGCACAAUGGGCGCAAGCCUGAUGCAGCGACGCCGCGUGAGGGAUGGAGGCCUGCGGGUUGUAAACCUCUUUCGCCAGUGAAGCAGGCCUGUCCCUUUUGUGGGUGGGUUGACGGUAGCUGGAGAAGAAGCGCCGGCUAACUACGUG